rnacentral:hammerhead_ribozyme from 1 species
AUUCAGCUGAUGAGUCCCAAAUAGGACGAAACAUGUGUCCUAGAU